rnacentral:rRNA from 1 species
GAUGAACGCUGGCGGCGUGCCUAAUACAUGCAAGUCGAGCGAACAGACGAGGAGCUUGCUCCUCUGACGUUAGCGGCGGACGGGUGAGUAACACGUGGAUAACCUACCUAUAAGACUGGGAUAACUUCGGGAAACCGGAGCUAAUACCGGAUAACAUGUUGAACCGCAUGGUUCAACAGUGAAAGACGGUCUUGCUGUCACUUAUAGAUGGAUCCGCGCCGCAUUAGCUAGUUGGUAAGGUAACGGCUUACCAAGGCAACGAUGCGUAGCCGACCUGAGAGGGUGAUCGGCCACACUGGAACUGAGACACGGUCCAGACUUCUACGGGAGGCAGCAGUAGGGAAUCUUCCGCAAUGGGCGAAAUCCUGACGGAGCAACGCCGCGUGAGUGAAGAAGGUCUUCGGAUCGUAAAACUCUGUUAUUAGGGAAGAACAAAUGUGUAAGUAACUAUGCACGUCUUGACGGUACCUAAUCAGAAAGCCACGGCUAACUACGUG